UUUACUAAUAAUGUUUAUACAGAGGUGUGGAAUAGUAAUUAUUGACUCAGAAAAUUUCAAAAACAUAAUUUUUUCUCCACUCCAAUAUAUACCCAUAUUGCAAACAGGGCUUCACUGAGGCACUUCAGUUUUUUCAGGUUUUUUUUUUUUUUGAAUGAACUGUAAAAUGUUGCUGGAAGUCUUUACUCACGACCAUAAAGUUAUCCUGCAAAAACUCAUGGAAAAACAUCUAGAUGCGUUCAUGGUAAGCAGAACUCCCUGAAACUCAAGGAACAGCAAAAAUACCCUUACUAGGAAUACUGGUUCAGAUUUACAGAAACAGAAAUCAAAAUCUUACAUUUGCAUAUGUAAAUAUCACUUCCCAUAAUUGCAAUUAAAUAUGGUUUUCCCCCCAAAAUUUGGCUUGCUGGAGAAUAUAAGAACAUGAAGGUGAACUGUAUUUUCACUUGCUUAUAGCAUGCCUGAUCCAGUGAGCUGGGUCAAUUCUUUUGUUUGUGACCAAUCCACGAUUUACAGUUUUCUGACUUCAUCUCCCCAGUUUAUCAUGGAAUUAAAACAAUGUUCAAAUGUUGAUAAAAAUCAAGUACUUCUACCUGAUGCGGGAACAGACCAUAAAAGCUUGCUUAGCUGCAGGGCUUGA
rnacentral:lncRNA from 1 species